UGGUAGUNCACGCCGUAAACGCUGAGUGCUAGGUGUUAGGUCCUUUCCGGGACUUAGUGCCGACGCUAACGCAUUAAGCACUCCGCCUGGGGAGUACGACCGCAAGGUUGAAACUCAAAGGAAUUGACGGGGGCCCGCACAAGCGGUGGAGCAUGUGGUUUAAUUCGAAGCAACGCGAAGAACCUUACCAGGUCUUGACAUCCCGAUGCCCGCUCUAGAGAUAGAGUUUUACUUUUUGUACAUCGGAGACAGGUGGUGCAUGGUUGUCGUCAGCUCGUGUCGUGAGAUGUUGGGUUAANNNNNNNNNNCGAGCGCAACCCUUAUUGUUAGUUGCCAUCAUUAAGUUGGGCACUCUAGCGAGACUGCCGGUAAUAAACCGGAGGAAGGUGGGGAUGACGUCAAAUCACCAUGCCCCUUAUGACCUGGGCUACACACGUGCUACAAUGGUUGGUACAACGAGUCGCAAGCCGGUGACGGCAAGCUAAUCUCUGAAAGCCAAUCUCAGUUCGGAUUGUAGGCUGCAACUCGCCUACAUGAAGUCGGAAUCGCUAGUAAUCGCGGAUCAGCACGCCGCGGUGAAUACGUUCCCGGGCCUUG
rnacentral:rRNA from 1 species